rnacentral:rRNA from 1 species
CUACGGGGGGCACCAGUGGGGAAUAUUGCACAAUGGAGGAAACUCUGAUGCAGCAACGCCGCGUGGAGGAUGACACUUUUCGGAGCGUAAACUCCUUUUAUAUAGGAAGAAGAUGACGGUACUAUAUGAAUAAGCGCCGGCUAACUCCGUGCCAGCAGCCGCGGUAAUACGGAGGGCGCAAGCGUUACUCGGAAUCACUGGGCGUAAAGAGCGUGUAGGCGGAUUAAAAAGUCAGAAGUGAAAUCCUAUAGCUUAACUAUAGAACUGCUUCUGAAACUCUUAAUCUAGAAUAUGGGAGAGGUAGAUGGAAUUUCUGGUGUAGGGGUAAAAUCCGUAGAGAUCAGAAGGAAUACCGAUUGCGAAGGCGAUCUACUAGAACAUUAUUGACGCUGAGACGCGAAAGCGUGGGGAGCAAACUGGAUUAGAUACCCGCGUAGUC